ACUCAAAUGAAUUGACGGGGGCCCGCACAAGCGGUGGAACAUGUGGUUUAAUUCGAUGCAACGCGAAGAACCUUACCUGGGCUUGACAUCCUCGGAAUCCUUGUGAAAGCAGGGAGUGCCUUCGGGAGCCGAGAGACAGGUGGUGCACGGUUGUCGUCAGCUCGUGUCGUGAGAUGUUGGGUUAAGUCCCGCAACGAGCGCAACCCUCGUGGUCUGUUGUUACAGGUCGUAAGAUGCUGAACCCUCAGGCCAGACUGCCGGUGACAAACCGGAGGAAGGUGGGGAUGACGUCAAAUCAUCACGCCCCUUAUGUCCAGGGCUACACACGUGUUACAAUGGGAAGAGGACAAUGGGUCGCUUGGCAGCGAUGUCUGGCAAAUCCCACAAACCUCCCCUCAGUUCGGAUCGUAGUCUGCAACUCGACUACGUGAAGUCGGAAUCGCUAGUAAACGCAGAUCAGCACGCUGCGUUGAAUACGUUCCCGGGCCUUGUACACACCGCCCGU
rnacentral:rRNA from 1 species